GAUAUUUUGCUGACCCAGGUCCUGAGUGUUACUUGACUGUUUCUAACCAACCCCUACAAGGCUGCCUGAUGCAUUUUCUGGCCUUGAGGAUCAUCUGUCUAGCACUUGGAUUAAGAGGGCAACUUUAAGACCUGAUUUGCCCUGUCCUGGAGGUGGAGCUGUAGGCUGUAUUGCUAUCUCCAAGGGAAGCCUCCAGGAGCACCAACAGAUCUCUUACCUUCUUGCUUUCAUGCCUCAGAGGGAAGCUGGUGCGAAUUGGGCACUUGGACCAUCUCCUAGCAGUGGAUGCCCAAUAUAUUUUCCAGCUUCAAGGACCAUCCCUCUGCCAUUUUGGACCAUCAUGUUAAAUCUCAGACCUGCCCUGUCACCGAUGGAGCCAUUGCUACCUCAAAAGGAAGGGUUUUUUUUUUUUUAGUGUGUGUAUGAAUUAAAGGGAUUAUGCUUAAGUGAGUUGGGAGAGAGCUGUGAGCAAGAGGUGGCCACUGUGGAUACUGAAGCUGUUUCUGGAAAUGGGUG